GGAACAAUUAAACAGUACUGAACAGCGACAGCCAUGAUUGACAUGCAUGGGGUACAGAGGAGACACAAAGCUCCGAGUGACUCAUGUCCUUAGCAAAAUGGAAGCAAGCCUGCUGAGGGCAGCCAGUCAGGAAACGCUGGACUGAAAAUAAGAUCACAGAGGGAGGAGGAAGAGGAGAGCCCACAUGGAACAGCUGUCCUGGUUGAGGACCUGUUGGUCUAUGUUACCGAAGACAUACUCUACAGGCUAAGUAUCCGCAAGUUUACAUGAUGAUGAGGGUCAUCUGUAGCUACCUGACCUCCAAAACAACUCUCUGUGAUAUGCACAGAACACCAAGUAGACACCUUCAUCUCUCCCAACAUGUGCAUUGUUUCCUGGACUUCUGGUGGAUGAUGGCAAGGACUUCCUCCUUCCAUUGUAGGAAAGCCAAGCUGGAUGGGAAGGAGCUCAACUCCAGUGGCUCCCCUUGCAGGUGUCCUUCCGAGCCUCUUUGCCUGCCCACCCCUGUAUUUCACACUUCCCACCUGGCUGUGCCCCAUGUUCUCCCCAAUCCAGCAGCCACCAUGUUUGGUUUCGCUGAGUGCUGGCAUCAUCUAAGCUAUCUCAGCACAAAUAUGGAAAAAAGAAAAGUAUCUUUUCCUGCUGAUUUCAGCCAC